UGGGGAGGAAAUGCGGGUGCGGCCCAAGAGUUUUGAGGGAGGUUUGAAGAGAGAGCUGGGACCAUGGAGGGGAAGGCAGGGAGGGUGGUUGGUGGAGGGCUGUGGCAUCAUGGGGCCUUGGAAGGCCGGGGUGGGGGGGACCCCCGAUGCGUGACCCCAUGACUGAGCCCCGUGGUGCCUCUGCUUCUCAGCCACACAAAGGGGUGGUGACGGCUGCACCUGGGCAGCUUGGGGGGUCAGGCGACCCAGUACCUGGAGUAUGCGAGGAAGCUGUUAUUAACCACUAUUAUGGUCAGGCUUCGUUUGGGGAGAUUCGGGGGGCAGCCACCCCCAGAACAGCUUGGGGAGAGCAGAGGCGGCGUCUGACAGGUGGCUGGCCGGCGUGGGGAUGCCAAGGUCCCAGGGCUGGCCGGACGCAGGUGCUGUUCGCUUGGCUGGAGGCCAUUCUUUCACCAGCUGCUUCACGGGGCUGAGCCUUGAAAGGGAGGAAGCGGCGGGCAAGGAAACUUCAGGGGUUCUCAGGAGCCUCCUGCAGGAUCCCAGGCCCCUCUGAGGAGCCCCAGCUGGGAUCCCCCCGUGCUCACUGUUUCUCUUUUAAACAGUGACCACUUCUAGGCCAACACAGAGGGCCCUCUGCCCCUAGGCUAGCUGGCACCGCAUCUUCUGCCAGUGGCGCUGGGUGCUUUCUCUCUGCCCUGACUUCCCCUCUUGCUCUGGAUGCCCCUCCUGGAGGAUCCUGCCUCCACCCCCGCCCCCGGAGUUUCUGUGCCUGUGGAGGGAGCCCCACCCUAUCUGGUAGCUUCCUGCUGUUUCUUUGGGAAACACAGUUGCCAAUUACCCUCCCAGCCUCCGCAACAGAAUUUGCUGCUUUGAGAGACUAGAUUCUGAAACCAAAAAGUCUAUCAGGCUUGACCUUCCCAAGGGCCAGCAAGGGGCCAGCGAAAUGCAGCACAGUCUGCAUCCUCAGCCUGUUCCCCGGCUCCCCCUUUGGAUGCUCCAUUGCUCUCCAGCCAGACUCUUCGUGACCAGAUGCUCGCACAACUGACGUCCAGGCUACAGUGGCCGCCAGCGCGCUGACACGAGCAUCAGCAUCCGUGUGAGACCCCAUCACCGCAGGGACUGGCACGAGGUGGCCUUGCUACCCCCAUGGCUGGAAAAGGUCCUUUCCAGCUGCUCUUCUCCCUCAGAAAGGAGUCGGGUUCGGGGGGAGUGGGCCUGAGGCAGCAUCUGAUGCUAAUCUUCGAGGGUCUCCGCCCCGGGCUGACUUUCUGCUAAUUUAGCAGCGGGUCUUGGGUGCCUGUCCCUCGCACACUGUGCCAGACCCCGUGCCUCCAAGAAAACAAAUGAUCUGUGUAUGAGGCAACGUGACAACGGGUACAGCAUGAAUAUGCUGCAUUCGGAGAAGCGAUGUGCCCUGGGGCUGGAGUGGGCAGGAGCGGAGCCCCAGCAGCUUAGGGAGAAGGGGGUGCCGGCCUCCAUCUCAGACGCAGGGAGUCGCAGGAGCAAGCGUGUGGCGGUGGAGGCGUGAAAGCAGAGGCUGCGCCGAGGAUGUGCCAAGCACAGGGUGGCUGCCGAGCCGACUGCUCCGUGUUUGCGGGAUGUGGUGAGAUGUCUGCCUAAGACCUUGGCUGCAUUCCUUUGUCCUCCCGGCCUUCACUCCAGAGGUCUCCAGGCCGCGUCGUCAGGUGCACAGUGGUGUAAAAACAUCCCGUUAUUCUUCCGGUGGAUUAAAUCUUUUUUUUUUUUUUUUUUUUUUUUGGGAAGGACCAUCCCUAUGCCUAAUAAAACUUCAUCUUAAAGCCUGUUUCACGCACUACUAUAUAUGUAAAACAGUCAACUAACAAGGACCCGCUGUACAGCACAGGGAAGUCUGCUCAGUGCUCUGCGAUAACCCACGUGGGAAAAAGGAAUAGAUGUGUGUCUCUGUGUAACUCAUUCGCUCGGCUGUAAACCCGAAGCUGACGCAGCAUUGUAAGUCAACUAUACGCCAAUAAAAAAAAACGUUUAAGUCUGU
rnacentral:lncRNA from 1 species